AAUUAAAGUUUGAUCCUGGCUCAGGACGAACGCUGGCGGCGUGCCUAACACAUGCAAGUCGAGCGAAGUGAUUUGGAGUGAAGUCUUCGGAUGGAACAAAGAAUCAUCUUAGCGGCGGACGGGUGAGUAACGCGUGAGAAACCUGCCUUUCACAAAGGGAUAGCCUCGGGAAACGGGGAUUAAUACCUUAUGAUACUCCUAGAUCGCAUGAUCUGGAAGUUAAAGCGCAAAGCGGUGAAAGAUGGUCUCGCGUCCUAUUAGCUAGUUGGUGAGGUAACGGCUCACCAAGGCUGCGAUAGGUAGCCGGCCUGAGAGGGUGAACGGCCACACUGGAACUGAAACACGGUCCAAACUCCUACGGGAGGCAGCAGUGGGGAAUAUUGCACAAUGGAGGAAACUCUGAUGCAGCGACGCCGCGUGAAUGAUGAAGGCCUUCGGGUCGUAAGUUCUGUCCUUGGGGAAGAUAAUGACGGUACCCAAGGAGGAAGCCCCGGCUAACUACGUGCCAGCAGCCGCGGUAAUACGUAGGGGGCGAGCGUUGUCCGGAAUUAUUGGGCGUAAAGGGUUCGCAGGCGGUCUGAUAAGUCA
rnacentral:rRNA from 1 species